GUGGUCCUGACUUCCGGCAGCACAUAUACUGAAAUUGGAACGAUACAGAGAAGAUUAGCCUGGCCUCUGCGCAGGGAUGACGCAAAUCAGUUCCCACGGCUUUU